AUCCCUAUUGCCUUUUUAGUUAUAUAUUUCCUCAUACAAGGAAACUAUAAUUCUCUAUGUUCAGAAGGUUUUCCCAAAGAAUCCAAUCAUAUAAGGCUGGACGUUAUUUGCAUUUAGCAUCAUGAGCAGUUGUAACAUCACUGGCCAUAUGUUACAAUGCAAAGUUUAGUUAAAAUACCUUCAGAUUUAAGUCAGGAUUCACAGAUAAGAGCUCUGACAUGAAGACAGCUUAAAGACACUGAUCAGGUUGUGAUUUGUAGAAAAAGGUGAACAGGACAAAAAGGAGGAUUAUUUUGGUACUCCACUGUUAUUCUGACGUAGGCCUGACUGGGAGUAAAUCUUUGAACAAAUAUGCUAACAAGUCUGCCUUCAAUAAUUGGAAAAAAAAUCGCUUCUCUUCUCCCUUCCAGAGCACUGACAAUAUCCUUAGUCUUCUAGCUUUCUCUGCUGUCCUCAACCUAAACGGGUCCUAAUUUAUCUGGGUAAAUUAAAAAAAAAUAAUGGCAGCUCUGUUAGUUGGUUUUAAAUAUCAAAAGUAGCCUGGAUAAUGUACAGUUUUUUGGUUUUUUUUUAC
rnacentral:lncRNA from 1 species